UAAGGAAUAUUGGUCAAUGGACGCAAGUCUGAACCAGCCAUGCCGCGUGAAGGAUGAAGGUCCUCUGGAUUGUAAACUUCUUUUAUCUAGGACGAAAACGGGAUUUUUAUCUCAAUUGACGGUACCAGAGGAAUAAGCACCGGCUAACUCCGUGCCAGCAGCCGCGGUAAUACGGAGGGUGCGAGCGUUAUCCGGAUUUACUGGGUUUAAAGGGUGCGUAGGUGGGCUUAUAAGUCAGUGGUGAAAUCUCCGAGCUUAACUUGGAAACUGCCGUUGNUACUAUAGGUCUUGAAUUAUCUGGAGGUAAGCGGAAUAUGUCAUGUAGCGGUGAAAUGCUUAGAUAUGACAUAGAACACCAAUUGCGAAGGCAGCUUACUACAUAUAAAUUGACGCUGAGGCACGAAAGCGUGGGGAUCAAACA
rnacentral:rRNA from 1 species